rnacentral:tRNA from 1 species
GACGAGGUGGGCCGAGUGGUUAAAGGCGAUGGACUGCUAAUCCUAUUGUGCUUUCGCGAUGGGUUGAAUCCCAUCCUCCGUCG